UACGUAGGGAGCAAGCGUUGUCCGGAAUCAUUGGGCGUAAAGAGCGCGUAGGCGGCCCAGUAAGUCCGUUCUGAAAGUCGGAGGCUCAACCUCCGAAAGCGGAUGGAUACUGCUGGGCUAGAGUCCGGAAGAGGCGAGUGGAAUUCCUGGUGUAGCGGUGGAAUGCGCAGAUAUCAGGAGGAACACCAACGGCGAAGGCAGCUCGCUGGGGACGGUAACUGACGCUGAGGGAGCGAAAAGCGUGGGGGAGCAAAACAGG
rnacentral:rRNA from 1 species